CAUAACAGUUAGAAGAGAGGGCAAUGCGUGAGAACAAGCACAUAAUGUCCAGUGAGUCCUGAAUUCCUCUUUGCAGAUGCAGAAGCUUGUAGCUUGUUGCACAACUUCAGAAGCUGAAGGACAAAGUGGCACUGACCUUUCCCAAAUUAGUUCUUCUGCCAUUAGCCUACUGUACAGAAGGGGAGUCUGUGAUGACAGCAACAUUUUCACUGAAAGAAUAUUCAGUGAGUCAGUGUGGGGCUUACACCCUGUGAAAUGGGGAACAGAAGAACUCUUCACAGCUGUCUGAUACCUUCAGCUCCCAGCUUGAGGAGAGCUCGGUUUAACUAAGUACAUCAGUGCACCCUAUGAGAUACUGGGCUCCCUGUCACCAGAGAGUUGAAAUCUCUCAGAAUCUGAUGGAAUGAAGUCUCAGUUUCAAUAAAACGCUGCUGUGGAGAGUAACCGGCUGCCAUAAAGCCUUUAAUGUGAGCAGCUUUGUGAUCCCACCUGCAGCCCAGCUCCUUCCCCCUCUUCUUCAGGUGGCCACUGUGGUGAACAACCUGCAUCUGGCUGACGUAGCACCUUCCCAUCUGUGGGGCUGCUUAGGUGCCAGUCUGGAAAAAAACCAUUUCAGAACUAUUUCUCUUAAAAACAAGUGUGUUGACAACACGACUUUACAAGACACUUGCACACAGUCCAACACUCAUCAAUACUCAGUGCAUUUAUUUCCAAGAAAGGGAAGACUGAUUUUCUGUCAUUAGGUAUCAGUUCACACUCCUGGGUGAUAAAAGCUGAGGUGGCAGGAAAAUGGAUCAAGAAAACCCUCAUUCACUUUGCCCUCCAAUUUCUCAGCACUGUACGCUUUCUCCUGCCAGGUGUCUAAUAAAUGUUUCUGCCCUGG